rnacentral:rRNA from 1 species
UACGGAGGGUGCGAACGUUAAUCGGAAUCACUGGGCGUAAAGCGCGCGUAGGCGGUCUGUUAAGUGGGAUGUGAAAUCCCCGGGCUUAACCUGGGAAUUGCAUUUCAAACUGGCCGACUUAGAGUACGGUAGAGGGAGGUAGAAUUUCCUGUGUAGCGGUGAAAUGCGUAGAUAUAGGAAGGAAUACCAGUGGCGAAGGCGGCCUCCUGGAUCGAUACUGACGCUGAGGCGCGAAAGCGUGGGGAGCAAAUAGGA